CCUACGGGCGGCAGCAGUGAGGAAUAUUGGUCAAUGGACGAGAGUCUGAACCAGCCAAGUAGCGUGAAGGAUGACUGCCCUAUGGGUUGUAAACUUCUUUUAUAUGGGAAUAAAAUGUUCCACGUGUGGGAUUUUGUAUGUACUAUAUGAAUAAGGAUCGGCUAACUCCGUGCCAGCAGCCGCGGUAAUACGGAGGAUCCGAGCGUUAUCCGGAUUUAUUGGGUUUAAAGGGAGCGUAGGUGGAUUGUUAAGUCAGUUGUGAAAGUUUGCGGCUCAACCGUAAAAUUGCAGUUGAAACUGGCAGUCUUGAGUACAGUAGAGGUAGGCGGAAUGCGUGGUGUAGCGGUGAAAUGCUUAGAUAUCACGAAGAACUCCGAUUGCGAAGGCAGUUCACUGGACUGCAACUGACACUGAGGCUCGAAAGUGUGGGUAUCAAACAGGAUUAGAUACCCUUGUAGUC
rnacentral:rRNA from 1 species